CAUGCAGCCUGCUUACAGCUUGAGUUGUACUGAGUAAAUCAAGCAUACGUCUCGCCUAACAUAUCGCCUAACGUAAGUGAGUUGCGUGCUUGAUUUACACAGUACAACUCAAGUUGUAAGCAGGUUGCAUGCGACAGUUUUAGGCAAAAGUUGUGUAGUGUAAAUCAGCUUUUUUGAAGUAAUAUAAAACUAGCCGUUUUCGCGUUGA